GGGCGAAUAGCUCAGUUGGUAGAGCGCUUCGUUUACACCGAAGAUGUCACGGGUUCAAGUCCUGUUUCGCCCA
rnacentral:tRNA from 1 species